GUUGGUUCUAAGAGAAAGCUGCUAUCUCCCACUUCUUUGGAGAAGUUAAGAUACAGAUUUCUCUAACCAGAAAGAAGAAAAGAAAUUAAACAAAAAAAAAAUCUAGUGAAGAUCAUUUUAGCAGACCUUUCAAUGUGAUUAUUCUUACCAGCUGCUGCUUUUACGUACGUAGUAUUCUUUCAUUUAUUAGUUGUCUGAAUUCUGCUUUUAAAUCCAUCGUACUCCUGAUAGAAUUCUUUAUUUAUCUUCUGCAACCUGAAAAUUUUUCAACUUCUCUGUUACAAAGUAGAAUUUGUAAAAAUGGGCAAAGCUCAGGACAUAGCAUUCUACAUCACAGUUUGCUGCAUUGCUUUCAUUACAUCCAAGAUAAUUAUUUCCUUCCUCCUCUACAAGAGAUGGAAAAGAAAGCACUUGAUGUAUGAAGAUGGCUUCUCGGGUGACAGAGGGAAGCUGGUUUUGUUCAAGUCUGCAACAAUGCAGCAGCCUCUAUCGUCUGAUGUGUUGCUGAAGAAAACUUUGAAAUUGAGCAACAAGGACAUCAUUGGCUCUGGAGGGUAUGGAACUGUUUACAGAUUGACCAUAAAUGAUUCCGUGGCCUUCGCUGUCAAGAGACUAAACAGGGGAAGUGCAGAGAGAGAUCGAGGUUUCGAAAGAGAGUUGGAAGCUAUGGGAGAUAUCAAGCACAGGAAUGUUGUCACUCUUCAUGGAUAUUACACUGCACCUCACUACAAUCUUCUCGUAUAUGAGUUAAUGCCAAAUGGAAGUUUAGAUGCAGUUCUGCACGGGAAAUCAAAGGAGAAGAAGGAUUUGGACUGGGAAUCCAGAUAUAGGAUAGCACUAGGUGCUGCAAGAGGCAUUUCAUACUUGCAUCAUGAUUGCAUUCCGCACAUAAUUCAUAGAGAUAUCAAGUCUAGUAAUAUAUUGCUGGAUCAGAAAAUGGAAGCUCGAGUAUCUGAUUUCGGAUUGGCUACCUUGAUGGAACCUGAUAAGACUCAUGUAUCAACAUUUCCAGCAGGGACUUUUGGAUACUUGGCUCCUGAGUACUUUGAUACAGGGAAGGCAACUGCAAAAGGAGAUGUUUAUAGCUUUG
rnacentral:misc_RNA from 1 species